rnacentral:tRNA from 1 species
ACUUGAAUAGCUUAUUUUUAGAGCGCGACACUGAAGAUGUCGAUGAGGUAAAUUUUAUCUUUAAGUG